rnacentral:rRNA from 1 species
GACGAACGCUGGCGGCGUGCUUAACACAUGCAAGUCGAGCGGUAAGGCCCUUUCGGGGGUACACGAGCGGCGAACGGGUGAGUAACACGUGGGUGACCUGCCCUCAGCUCUGGGAUAAGCCUGGGAAACUGGGUCUAAUACUGGAUAUGACUCCACGGUGCAUGUCGUGGGGUGGAGAGCCUUGUGCGGCUGAGGAUGGGCCCGCGGCCUAUCAGCUUGUUGGGGGGUG